rnacentral:rRNA from 1 species
GAUGAACGCUGGCGGCGUGCCUAAUACAUGCAAGUCGAGCGAACGGACGAGAAGCUUGCUUCUCUGAUGUUAGCGGCGGACGGGUGAGUAACACGUGGAUAACCUACCUAUAAGACUGGGAUAACUUCGGGAAACCGGAGCUAAUACCGGAUAAUAUUUUGAACCGCAUGGUUCAAAAGUGAAAGACGGUCUUGCUGUCACUUAUAGAUGGAUCCGCGCUGCAUUAGCUAGUUGGUAAGGUAACGGCUUACCAAGGCAACGAUGCAUAGCCGACCUGAGAGCGGGAGCGGCAGAAUUGGAAAUGAUCCACGGGGGAGACACCGCCGGGAGGAACAAGUAGGGAAUGGUGAUGAAAGGGCGAGAUACUUAAGAAUCAAUGAAGAGGGAGUAAUGUAGGUCUAAGGAUAGGAAAACUCUGGGAUGAUGGAAGAACAGAGGUGUCCGUAACUAUGCACGCCUGGACGGUACUUAAUAAGAGAGCGACGACGAGCGACGUG